UACAGAGGAUGCAAGCGUUAUCCGGAAUGAUUGGGCGUAAAGCGUCUGUAGGUGGCUUUUCAAGUCCGCCGUCAAAUCCCCGGGCUCAACCUGGGAAUGGCAUUUGGGACUGCAAGGCUUGAGUGCGGCAGAGGAGACUGGAAUUCCUGGUGUAGCAGUGAAAUGCGUAGAUAUCAGGAGGAAUACCGAUGGCGAAGGCAGGUCUCUGGGCUGACACUGACGCUCAUGCACGAAAGCGUGGGGAGCAAACAGG
rnacentral:rRNA from 1 species